AUGGCCUCCCUUUCCACACCCAGGGUGCUUCCCAUCCGUCGGAACGCUUCCCGGCGUUCGUGUCUGGCGCUUUGCAAGGCGUCCGUGAAGAGCUUUCUCAGGAGGGCCUUGUCUGCUUUUCCUUCCAGGGUGCUCACUAAGUCGGUCCACUUCUUUUGGACGUCCUCCAGCACUUCCCGUCGGGCCUCGUCUUGUCGCUGCAGUCCUCCGAUCUGCUCCUCCUGCAGGCGCGAGGCGGCUUGCGCUCUCUCCAGCCGUCCCUGCAGCGACCUCAGCUUCCCUUCCAGGCCGUCUGCCUUUUGCAUCCAUUCGGCCAGGACCACCUUCAGGGACCCGACCCGGGCAGCGGCCCGCUGGCUCGCCUUCUGCAUGGCGUGGGAAGAUGACAGGAGCCUCUCCUCUAGCGCCGUGACUUUCCUCCUGAGUUGAGCCGCUCUGUCUUCUGCCAGCCGCGCUGCCCGGAGAUGCCAGUCUUCGCAUUCUGAAGCCUGCGUCCGAGACCUCCCCAGCUCCUGGCCUAAGCGCGCUCCCUUGUCGCGCAAAAGGCGAACCUCCUCCCGCAGGGCGCACUUUUCCACUCGUUCCUGUCUCAGCGCCAGCGCGGCCUCAUCUCUCUCGUGCUGAAAGACAAUGCUCUUUUUCCUGCAUGGAGGUCACUGCAUUGAGAAGCUGGCUCAAUUCCCAGCCCGGCCCUCUUCCUUUAUCUCUCAGGAGGCACUCAAAAGCCAGAGCCUUCUUCUUCAGAGAGACGCAUUCGAAAUUCCUUCUCCCUCAGCAUCGUAGAGAGGCGCCUGUUCGUCUCUUGUUUGUCACCGCCUGCCUCAACAGUUCGUUUUCGCUCGCUUGGGUCGUGAGGGUUUCCCUCAGAGAAAGGAAUUCCUCCCUCUGCGCCUCGAUUAAGAGCUCUCUGUCCUCCAGCGUGUUCUGUAAAGCCUCCUGUUUCUCCUUGAGCCGCUGAAUUUCGGAAUCCGUCUGUGCGUGCCGUUCUCUCUCCCGUUCCGAGGUGGCGGCCAUCGCCUCGGACAGUCUCUGAGUCUCCUCCUGGAGGCUUCUGAUGGCUGCGUCUUUUUCCUCCGUGGCUCGCCUUAAGGCUUCCACCUCUGCUGGCGGCCCUUUCGAAGACUCGCCCGGCGCCUCGGACUUAAUUGCCUCCUGAGAGCCGGCCGCCUCGCAAGUCCGCGACGAUGCGGCGGGCGGCUGUGGUGACGUGAGGGCGGGUGGACCCAAGAGAACCUCCUUGGCAUUGCAGAGCUGCUCUAGGCCGAGCUGCAUCUGUGCCAGUCUCUUCCCCAAGAGCCGGAGUUGGGUCGCAUCCCCUCGAGGACGCGGGAACGGGGCGGCAGAGUGCAUCUGUCGCCGACACUUCUCCUCGCUGUCCACUGAGGCCCGUGCCUCGAGUGGUGGGAGUUCUUUCUGAAGUUGGGAUGACUCCCGCUGCAGAUGGUGCACCUCGGUGAGCACCAGCCGCUGCCACUCCUCCAGCACGGUUGACCCGCUGCUUCAACGUGCCCCGUUUCCCGGAGAAGCUCCUCCAACUGAUUCGCGUCCACGCCCCGAACCCUCAUGGCCAGCGUCGGACGUUUGCCAGAUGGUCAGUAAAGUCUGACAUUUCUUGCUUCAGGCACCGAU
rnacentral:lncRNA from 1 species